GACGGAGGAGGCAAGCGUUAUCCGGAAUUAUUGGGCGUAAAGCGUCCGCAGGCGGCUUUUUAAGUCUGUUGUCAAAGCCCACAGCCUCAACUGUGGAUCGGCAAUGGAAACUGGGAAGCUAGAGUGUGGUAGGGGUAGAGGGAAUUCCCGGUGUAGUGGUGAAAUGCGUAGAUAUCGGGAGGAACACCAGUGGCGAAGGCGGCUUCCUGGCCUGGUUCUUGACGCUGAGGCGGCGAAAGCU
rnacentral:rRNA from 1 species